GGAAACUGGUGGAGUCUCCAUACAAAGAAUCAGUUGAUUGGUCGAAAUGGCUCAUCUUUUGGGUGGAUGAGAGGGUGGUUCCUUUGACUAGUGAUGACAGUAAUUAUAAACUUGCAUAUGAUGGUUUUCUUUCGAAGGUACACAAAAUUUCGAAAUAUUUUCUGUCUGCAAAAUUGAAUGCAUAUCAGUUCAUGUAAUUUUGUCAGUUGAAAUCCAAUUGUUUUAAAGAUAUGUGCAGUAAAUCCAGGCAAAAGUACUAAUUCAAGUUUCGCUACUCCUAUUUUGUGAAGAAGUUGCAACUUUUUAUGAAUAUAUGAAUCAACAUGCACUAGAGGUGUUUUAACUCUGUGUCCCCUUUCAAAUAGCUUAAAAGGUAACACACAUUAGGAGUAAUCCAGUUCGACCAUCCUCACGUCUAGCUAAUGUAGGAAAACAAAAACCUACCUUCCCAAAGAAAAUAUUUUCCUCAAAAACGGAAAGCUAAUCAUAUUUUCAAAGGUUGAAAAAUAACUUUAAUGGAAAAAAUUUGGCAAUCAAACAUGCCAAAGGUUAGAAUUCGAGUAGAAAAAGGCAAUUUUCGACAGAAAAUUCUCCAAUCAAAUACACCCUAAAUAUUAGAAAAAGAACUGUGAAUAUUAAAGUAUUGAGAAUUGAGUUGAAAAUCAGUGUAUGCUAUGUGUGGAACAAAUUUUCCGGUCAUGUUUGGAAUCAGGUGUAUGCAGAAUGUUAAGAGCGUUG
rnacentral:lncRNA from 1 species